UACGAAGGGGGCUAGCGUUGCUCGGAAUCACUGGGCGUAAAGCGCACGUAGGCGGGUUCUUAAGUCAGGGGUGAAAUCCUGGAGCUCAACUCCAGAACUGCCUUUGAUACUGGGAAUCUCGAGUCGGUGAGAGGUGAGUGGAACUGCGAGUGUAGAGGUGAAAUUCGUAGAUAUUCGCAAGAACACCAGUGGCGAAGGCGGCUCACUGGCCCGGUACUGACGCUGAGGUGCGAAAGCGUGGGGAGCAAACAGG
rnacentral:rRNA from 1 species